rnacentral:rRNA from 1 species
CCUACGGGAGGCAGCAGUGGGGAAUAUUGCACAAUGGGCGAAAGCCUGAUGCAGCGACGCCGCGUGAGGGAUGACGGCCUUCGGGUUGUAAACCUCUUUCAGCAGGGAAGAAGCGAGAGUGACGGUACCUGCAGAAGAAGCGCCGGCUAACUACGUGCCAGCAGCCGCGGUAAUACGUAGGGCGCAAGCGUUGUCCGGAAUUAUUGGGCGUAAAGAGCUCGUAGGCGGCUUGUUGCGUCGGUUGUGAAAGCCCGGGGCUUAACCCCGGGUCUGCAGUCGAUACGGGCAGGCUAGAGUGUGGUAGGGGAGAUCGGAAUUCCUGGUGUAGCGGUGAAAUGCGCAGAUAUCAGGAGGAACACCGGUGGCGAAGGCGGAUCUCUGGGCCAUUACUGACGCUGAGGAGCGAAAGCGUGGGGAGCGAACAGGAUUAGAUACCCUGGUAGUCCACGCCGUAAACGUUGGGAACUAGGUGUUGGCGACAUUCCACGUCGUCGGUGCCGCAGCUACGACAUUAACGUUCCCCGUCCCGUCGGGGAGGUACGGGCCGGCCGAACGGACGUAAAACCGUAACAAAUAAGUAAGUUAGUUACGGCGUGAGACGUGCCGACGGACGACGACGAGGGGAGGUUAGG